GCUUCUUUUUCCACCGGAGCUUGCUCCACCGGAAAAAGAGGAGUGGCGAACGGGUGAGUAACACGUGGGUAACCUGCCCAUCAGAAGGGGAUAACACUUGGAAACAGGUGCUAAUACCGUAUAACAAUCGAAACCGCAUGGUUUUGAUUUGAAAGGCGCUUUCGGGUGUCGCUGAUGGAUGGACCCGCGGUGCAUUAGCUAGUUGGUGAGGUAACGGCUCACCAAGGCGACGAUGCAUAGCCGACCUGAGAGGGUGAUCGGCCACAUUGGGACUGAGACACGGCCCAAACUCCUACGGGAGGCAGCAGUAGGGAAUCUUCGGCAAUGGACGAAAGUCUGACCGAGCAACGCCGCGUGAGUGAAGAAGGUUUUCGGAUCGUAAAACUCUGUUGUUAGAGAAGAACAAGGAUGAGAGUAACUGUUCAUCCCUUGACGGUAUCUAACCAGAAAGCCACGGCUAACUACGUGCCA
rnacentral:rRNA from 1 species